UGUUGGGCAGCAGGAUGCUCAUCACGUGACCUCUCGAUCGCCGCCACCCUCACGGAGCAGAGUUUGAACCUGCAGAGGGAAGAAGGCCAUGGAGGGGGUGGAGGGAGCAUUCCAACCUAAGGAAAUAUUAAUUAAUAUUGUCCAUCUUCCAGACACUGAGCUAAUCUCUUUCAUGUACAGUAUCUGUUAACCCUUAAAAAAUCCUAUAAGACUUAGAAGUCAUCUAUUCUGGAAGAUGUUCCCUGGGCACAUGAGAAGAAUGUGUGUUCUGCUGUUGUUUCAUGGACCGUUAUGUGUAUGCCAGGUCUAGUAGAUAUAAUGUGCAGUUCAAGACU